rnacentral:lncRNA from 1 species
UUUUUUUGUGCAGAAAGAGUAUGUGACUUCCAAGGUCCCUUUGGCUAUUCAUCCACUAUGGCGUGUCUUCUUAGGCGUAUGGGUGUCGAAAACAUUCUUCUACAGAGAUCUCAUUAUGAUUAAAAGGGAAUUAGCUUUACAUUGAAACUUUCAAUACGUAUGGAGAAGGGAAAGAGGAUACUUUAGAGGGUUCAUGUAUGAUGUUCUUCGGUUUGAUUUAUGAUGAUCAUAUGAUUAAGUGGACCUUAGGUACACUUGGAGCUUGCACCAGAGGAGAAGCGGGUCGUUGUGGACAAGAAUAUGUGAAUGCUUAUUAAACGUUUUUACAUUCACACAAUGAUACUUAUGUUUUGGGUUUUACAUUUAAUGCUUCCGCUACAUAUACAACGUUUGGUUUUGAACAUCGGUCGUAUCUACUAUUAUAUU